GGACGAACGCUGGCGGCGUGCCUAAUACAUGCAAGUUGAGCGCUGAAGGUUGGUACUUGUACCGACUGGAUGAGCAGCGAACGGGUGAGUAACGCGUGGGGAGUCUGCCUUUGAGCGGGGGACAACAUUUGGAAACGAAUGCUAAUACCGCAUAAAAACUUUAAACACAAGUUUUAAGUUUGAAAGAUGCAAUUGCAUCACUCAAAGAUGAUCCCGCGUUGUAUUAGCUAGUUGGUGAGGUAAAGGCUCACCAAGGCGAUGAUACAUAGCCGACCUGAGAGGGUGAUCGGCCACAUUGGGACUGAGACACGGCCCAAACUCCUACGGGAGGCAGCAGUAGGGAAUCUUCGGCAAUGGACGAAAGUCUGACCGAGCAACGCCGCGUGAGUGAAGAAGGUUUUCGGAUCGUAAAACUCUGUUGGUAGAGAAGAACGUUGGUGAGAGUGGAAAGCUCAUCAAGUGACGGUAACUACCCAGAAAGGGACGGCUAACUACGUG
rnacentral:rRNA from 1 species